UACGUAGGUGGCAAGCGUUGUCCGGAAUUAUUGGGCGUACAGCGCGCGCAGGCGGUCCUUUAAGUCUGAUGUGAAAGCCCACGGCUCAACCGUGGAGGGUCAUUGGAAACUGGGGGACUUGAGUGCAGAAGAGGAGAGUGGAAUUCCACGUGUAGCGGUGAAAUGCGUAGAGAUCGGGAGGAACACCAGUGGCGAAGGCGGCUACCUGGACCAGCACUGACACUGAAGCACGAAAGCGUGGGGAGCAAACAGG
rnacentral:rRNA from 1 species